CCUACGGGAGGCAGCAGUGAGGAAUAUUGGACAAUGGGCGCAAGCCUGAUCCAGCCAUGCCGCGUGCAGGAUGACGGUCCUAUGGAUUGUAAACUGCUUUUAUACGAGAAGAAACACCCCUACGUGUAGGGACUUGACGGUAUCGUAAGAAUAAGGAUCGGCUAACUCCGUGCCAGCAGCCGCGGUAAUACGGAGGAUCCAAGCGUUAUCCGGAAUCAUUGGGUUUAAAGGGUCCGUAGGCGGUUUAGUAAGUCAGUGGUGAAAUCUCCCCGCUCAACGGGGAAACGGCCAUUGAUACUGCUAGACUUGAAUUAUUAGGAAGUAACUAGAAUAUGUAGUGUAGCGGUGAAAUGCUUAGAGAUUACAUGGAAUACCAAUUGCGAAGGCAGGUUACUACUAAUGGAUUGACGCUGAUGGACGAAAGCGUGGGUAGCGAACAGGAUUAGAUACCCUGGUAGUCCACGCCGUAAAACGAUGGAUACUAGCUGUUGGGUGCAAACUCAGUGGNGUAGACGAAGUAGAUAAGUAGUCCGACCGUCGGGUAGGUACGGUUCGCGAAGAAGUAGUAAACGUUACGAAAUAGUUAAGUUAGUACGGCGUUGGAGACGUUAGCCGACGGACGACCGACCGAGGGGAGGUUAGGGAGG
rnacentral:rRNA from 1 species